GACGAACGCUGGCGGCGUGCUUAACACAUGCAAGUCGAACGGAGUUUCUUGGAUCAAGACUUCGGUCAAGUGAAUUGAAACUCAGUGGCGGACUGAUGAGUAACGCGUGAGGAACCUGCCUUUCAGAGGGGGACAACAGUUGGAAACGACUGCUAAUACCGCAUGAAGCAUUCGGGUCGCAUGGCCUGAAUGCCAAAGAUUUUAUCGCUGAAAGAUGGCCUCGCGUCUGAUUAGCUAGUUGGUGAGGUAACGGCCCACCAAGGCGACGAUCAGUAGCCGGACUGAGAGGUUGACCGGCCACAUUGGGACUGAGAUACGGCCCAGACUCCUACGGGAGGCAGCAGUGGGGAAUAUUGGGCAAUGGACGCAAGUCUGACCCAGCAACGCCGCGUGAAGGAAGAAGGCUUUCGGGUUGUAAACUUCUUUUAAGAGGGAAGAGUAGAAGACGGUACCUCUUGAAUAAGCCACGGCUAACUACGUGCCAGCCGCCGCGGUAAAAC
rnacentral:rRNA from 1 species